UACGUAGGGGGCAAGCGUUGUUCGGAUUAACUGGGCGUAAAGGGUGCGUAGGCGGGUUUUUAAGUCAGGGGUGAAAUCCCGAGGCUCAACCUCGGAACUGCCUUUGAUACUGGAAAUCUUGAGUCUGGGAGAGGUGAGUGGAACUGCGAGUGUAGAGGUGAAAUUCGUAGAUAUUCGCAAGAACACCGGUGGCGAAGGCGGCUCACUGGCCCGGAACUGACGCUGAGGCACGAAAGCGUGGGGAGCAAACAGG
rnacentral:rRNA from 1 species